rnacentral:rRNA from 1 species
GUCUAUCUGGCGUAAUAAGUUUCGCUGGUGUCGGCUUGAGAAGUACGCUUCUAAUCGUCUUCGGACAAUUCUUGAACUCUGGUCUCAAAUCAGGUAGGGCUACCCGCUGAACUUAAGCAUAUCAAUAAGCGGAGGAAAAGAAACUAACAAGGAUUCCCUUAGUAACGGCGAGUGAACCGGGAAAAGCUCAAAUUUGUAAUCUGGCUGUCUUCGAUAGUCCGAGUUGUAAUCUAUAGACGUGUUUUCCGUGCUGGACCGUAUCUAAGUCCCUUGGAACAGGGUAUCAAAGAGGGUGACAAUCCCGUGCUUGAUACGACCACCAGUGCUCUGUGAUACACGCUCUACGAGUCGAGUUGUUUGGGAAUGCAGCUCAAAAUGGGUGGUAAAUUCCAUCUAAAGCUAAAUAUUGGCGAGAGACCGAUAGCGAACAAGUACCGUGAGGGAAAGAUGAAAAGCACUUUGGAAAGAGAGUUAAACAGUACGUGAAAUUGUUGAAAGGGAAACGAUUGAAGUCAGUCGUGUUCUUUGGAUUCAGCUAGUUCUUCUAGUCUACUUCCUUUGAACGGGUCAACAUCAGUUUUGUCCGGUGGAUAAAGAUAGUAGGAAUGUAGCUCCCUCGGGAGUGUUAUAGACUAUUAUUGCAUGCACUGGGUGAGACUGAGGACUGCAGCUCGCCUUUG